ACUUGCAACGUUCACCAAUAAACUCAUCAUUCAAACCCGAGGUUAUGAAACACACAGACACAGCACAGUAUCAUUCAAUGAUGAAAUAAACACAAGGUCAUGGCAACUUGACUGACUGGGAGAAUGAAGUCCGCAACCCUUUUGAAUUGGGAAAUCAAGCUAAUCUGCUGCUAGAAUGGUUAUAGACAGCGUGCAAAUGGCAACAGAUGAGAAUUGAAAUACAUAAAUUCAAGCAAUAAUUCAUGGGACCAUCAUCACGUCCAUUCCAUUAGCAAGAAGGGCUAUAAAAUGAGACGUUAAGCUUCAGUAUUUGGAAGAGGAAUGAUUUCACUCACUCUAAUUAACUGGAAAGGAACUUAGAAGGCAUGGAUUUUGUGUCCGCGACAAACUUUCACCUAAUUAACAGUCGGCCAAAGUUAGCUACGUGGCAAUUUGCUUGCCAGGCAGAGGUGAAAAAUGUGUUUUUUUCUUCGAAAGAAGGUGAAAAAUGUGUUCUUUCUUAAGGAUGAGAUAAUUGAAAAUUUAAUUUUAGUGGUGAUUUCAACUAAAUGCCUCCCAAAAGAUUCAACAUCUUUGAAUUGGCUAAUUAGUUGAAACUACCAGAGUGUUUUCAUCCCAGAAAAACCAAUUGUAACUGUAUAGAAAGCAAAGCCAAUUAGCAAACACAAUCAAUUCGAACGGUGGACCUUCCCAAUCAGCUGAGCAUGAAAGACGAAAAAAAAAAAAAAGAAUCGACUCCGCUGGGGAUCGAACCCAGAAUCUCUGGUUCCGUAGACCAGCGCCUUAUCCAUUGGGCCACGGAGUCCUUCUGGUUUUAUACCUGAAAGUAGAAAUAUGGAACAUAAGCCUGAAGCCAGCUUUCCAAAAACCCAAUUCAUCCCAUAAAUUACCACUCUCACCCCCAGUCCGGGUUUCUUUUACACGCAUCGCCUGUGUUCAAUUUAAUACAGGCCCAACUCCAGAGGCGUCCAAGCUACAGAUAGCGUCCUAGACACAGGCAAAGCACAAGAACUGGAGGCCCCAAGAUGAGGAAUUAGACUGCAAUUGCACUUGUGAUAAAAUUCCAUUUGGAAUCAACAGACAAACUUCGGCCCUGGAAAAUGCCCCUUCAAAGUGGCUUAAUGACCAGUUAGCUCUUGAACAAGCUUCUUGAAGGUUCUGGAGAGACUGAUAGAGAGCCCAGCAGACCACAGACUGGGUGAGGUCACAGAUCUGCAUAGAGUCAGAGUCACCUCUCAUCUGCAAUUCAUCAGUGGUAGGACCUUUAGGUUCUUUUUGAAAUUUAGUUUUUGCAUUUUGUAAUAGGUAGUAGUUUGUGAUUUGUAAAUUAUGAACUCAUGUAAAUAAUAAAUUUAUGUAAUCAUAUGUUGAUGUACAUAUUUUGUAAAAUUUUGUUAAUUAAUAUAAUUUGAGAAUAUCUUCAUGAAAUUAAA